GGUGUCCUACGGGGCGCAGCAGUGGGGAAGAUUGUAUAAUGGGGGAAACCCUGAUGCAGCAACGCCGCGUGAGUGAAGAAGUAUUUCGGUAUGUAAAGCUCUAUCAGCAGGGAAGAAAAUGACGGUACCUGAGUAAGAAGCCCCGGCUAACUACGUGCCAGCAGCCGCGGUAAUACGUAGGGGGCAAGCGUUAUCCGGAUUUACUGGGUGUAAAGGGAGCGUAGACGGCGAUGCAAGUCUGAAGUGAAAGCCCGGGGCUCAACCCCGGGACUGCUUUGGAAACUGUAUGGCUGGUGUGCUGGCGG
rnacentral:rRNA from 1 species